rnacentral:rRNA from 1 species
CACGGUAAACGAUGGAUGCCCGCUGUUUGCGAUAUACUGUGAGCGGCCAAGAGAAAUCGUUAAGCAUCCCACCUGGGGAGUACGCCGGCAACGGUGAAACUCAAAGGAAUUGACGGGGGCCCGCACAAGCGGAGGAACAUGUGGUUUAAUUCGAUGAUACGCGAGGAACCUUACCCGGGCUUGAACUGCAGGAGAACGAUACAGAGAUGUUGAGGUCCUUCGGGACUCCUGUGGAGGUGCUGCAUGGUUGUCGUCAGCUCGUGCCGUGAGGUGUCGGCUUGAGUGCCAUAACGAGCGCAACCCUUUUCGUCAGUUGCCAUCAGGUGAAGCUGGGCACUCUGGCGAUACUGCCACCGUAAGGUGUGAGGAAGGUGGGGAUGACGUCAAAUCAGCACGGCCCUUACGUCCGGGGCUACACACGUGUUACAAUGGGUGGUACAGAGAGUCAACCGCCGGCAACGUCGGUUUAAUCAAAAAAGCCAUCCUCAGUUCGGAUUGGGGUCUGCAACCCGACC